GGUUUAAACUGAAACCUUCGGGGAACGUUAACGGCGUCGAGCGGCGGACGGGUGAGUAAUGCCUGGGAAAUUGCCCUGAUGUGGGGGAUAACCAUUGGAAACGAUGGCUAAUACCGCAUAAUAGCUUCGGCUCAAAGAGGGGGACCUUCGGGCCUCUCGCGUCAGGAUAUGCCCAGGUGGGAUUAGCUAGUUGGUGAGGUAAGGGCUCACCAAGGCGACGAUCCCUAGCUGGUCUGAGAGGAUGAUCAGCCACACUGGAACUGAGACACGGUCCAGACUCCUACGGGAGGCAGCAGUGGGGAAUAUUGCACAAUGGGCGCAAGCCUGAUGCAGCCAUGCCGCGUGUAUGAAGAAGGCCUUCGGGUUGUAAAGUACUUUCAGCAGUGAGGAAGGCGGAGUCGUUAAUAGCGGCCUCGUUUGACGUUAGCUGCAGAAGAAGCACCGGCUAACUCCGUGCCAGCAGCCGCGGUAAUACGGAGGGUGCGAGCGUUAAUCGGAAUUACUGGGCGUAAAGCGCAUGCAGGUGGUUUGUUAAG
rnacentral:rRNA from 1 species